UAGGUUCGAGAAUUAUCUAGACUUGGUGGUUCAGGAGUAGCACAAAGUACAAGGAAAGUGCUUUAUAAGGUUCUUGGAUGGGGCCAAACAGAAGAGAAGUUUGAAAUCAUUGUUAGUGGCCAAAAGCAAUUUUAGACUCCAUGAAAGGUCAAUUUCAAGAGUCAAAAGAAACCGAAAUUAUCAAUAUAAUCAAAAUAUGGCUU